AACCCAUGGUGAGGGCACAUUCCCAAUAGAUCCUUAUACCUCUCCCAUACAUCAUAGAGUGCUUCUAGAUCCAUUUGCAGAAAAGAAGAGAUAUCAUUCCUCAACUU
rnacentral:snoRNA from 1 species